GGAUUAAUUUAAUGGUCGUGCAAUAGUACGUACUGGUAUUAUUGAUUCCUACCUUCUGACGAACCAUGAUGUCAUUAAUUUGGUGUCAUGGGGAAUCAGGACUGUUACUUUGAAAAAAUUAGAGUGUUUAAAGCAGGCUCACGCUUGAAUACAUUAGCAUGGAAUAAUGAAAUAGGACGUUUGACCCUAUUUUGUUGGUUUCUAGGAUCGACGUA
rnacentral:rRNA from 1 species